AGUGAACGCUGGCGGUAGGCCUAACACAUGCAAGUCGAACGGCAGCACAGUAAGAGCUUGCUCUUACGGGUGGCGAGUGGCGGACGGGUGAGGAAUACAUCGGAAUCUACUUUUUCGUGGGGGAUAACGUAGGGAAACUUGCGCUAAUACCGCAUACGACCUACGGGUGAAAGCAGGGGAUCUUCGGACCUUGCGCGAUUGAAUGAGCCGAUGUCGGAUUAGCUAGUUGGCGGGGUAAAGGCCCACCAAGGCGACGAUCCGUAGCUGGUCUGAGAGGAUGAUCAGCCACACUGGAACUGAGACACGGUCCAGACUCCUACGGGAGGCAGCAGUGGGGAAUAUUGGACAAUGGGCGCAAGCCUGAUCCAGCCAUACCGCGUGGGUGAAGAAGGCCUUCGGGUUGCAAAGCCCUUUUGUUGGGAAAGAAAAGCAGCAGGUUAAUACCCCGCUGUUCUGACGGUACCCAAAGAAUAAGCACCGGCUAACUUCGUG
rnacentral:rRNA from 1 species